rnacentral:rRNA from 1 species
AUUGAACGCUGGCGGCAUGCCUUACACAUGCAAGUCGAACGGCAGCACGGGAGCAAUCCUGGUGGCGAGUGGCGAACGGGUGAGUAAUGUAUCGGAACGUGCCCAGUCGUGGGGGAUAACGUAGCGAAAGCUACGCUAAUACCGCAUACGAUCUAUGGAUGAAAGCGGGGGAUCGCAAGACCUCGCGCGAUUGGAGCGGCCGAUAUCAGAUUAGGUAGUUGGUGGGGUAAAGGCUCACCAAGCCGACGAUCUGUAGCUGUUCUGAGAGGACGACCAGCCACACUGGGACUGAGACACGGCCCAGACUCCUACGGGAGGCAGCAGUAGGUAAUUUUGGACAAUGGGCGCAAGCCUGAUCCAGCAAUGCCGCGUGCAGGAUGAAGGCCUUCGGGUUGUAAACUGCUUUUGUACGGAACGAAACGGCGAGCUCUAAUACAGUUUGCUAAUGACGGUACCGUAAGAAUAAGCACCGGCUAACUACGUGCCAGCAGCCGCCGUAA